CUGGCUCAGGACGAACGCUGGCGGCGUGCUUAACACAUGCAAGUCGAACGGAAAGGCCCUUCGGGGUACUCGAGUGGCGAACGGGUGAGUAACACGUGGGUGAUCUGCCCUGCACUUCGGGAUAAGCCUGGGAAACUGGGUCUAAUACCGGAUAUGACCUUGGGAUGCAUGUCCUUUGGUGGAAAGCUUUUGCGGUGUGGGAUGGGCCCGCGGCCUAUCAGCUUGUUGGUGGGGUUAAGGCCUACCAAGGCGACGACGGGUAGCCGGCCUGAGAGGGUGACCGGCCACACUGGGACUGAGAUACGGCCCAGACUCCUACGGGAGGCAGCAGUGGGGAAUAUUGCACAAUGGGCGCAAGCCUGAUGCAAGCGACGCCGCGUGAGGGACGACGGCCUUCGGGUUGUAAACCUCUUUCAGCACAGACGAAGCGCAAGUGACGGUAUGUGCAGAAGAAGGACCGGCCAACUACGUGCCAGCAGCCGC
rnacentral:rRNA from 1 species